GACGAACGCUGGCGGCGUGCUUAACACAUGCAAGUCGAACGGAAAGGCCCUGCUUUUGUGGGGUGCUCGAGUGGCGAACGGGUGAGUAACACGUGAGUAACCUGCCCUUGACUUUGGGAUAACUUCAGGAAACUGGGGCUAAUACCGGAUAGGAGCUCCUGCUGCAUGGUGGGGGUUGGAAAGUUUCGGCGGUUGGGGAUGGACUCGCGGCUUCUCAGCAUGUUGGUGGGGUAGUGGCUUACCAAGGCUUUGACGGGUAGCCGGCCUGAGAGGGUGACCGGGCACAUUGGGACUGGGAUACGGGCCAGACUCAUACGGGAGGCAGCAGUGGGGAAUAUUGCACAAUGGGCGGAAGCCUGAUGCAGCAACGCCGCGUGCGGGAUGACGGCCUUCGGGUUGUAAACCGCUUUCGCCUGUGACGAAGCGUGAGUGACGGUAAUGGGUAAAGAAGCACCGGCUAACUACGUG
rnacentral:rRNA from 1 species